GAGUGCUUUAUCUACUUCUGUGCCCUUUGGAAAACUCGCUAGCUGUUUCCUGGACUCCUGAGCACACUGAUUCUGAAGAUGCUACCCAAAAUGCUCUGAGGAUAAUCUUUUUAACAUGGACAGAUUCACCAGGUGCUCCUGAGGUCUGUUGUUAUGCAAGCAGCUGUCUCUCAAAGGUCCCAGUUUCUCCACGGAUGGGAUUCCUCUUUCUACAAGGGCUGAGUAUCCUGAUUGCAUGAAUGAUAUGCAUAGAAACUCUCAUCACUUGAGGAGUCCAUUACGGAAUUAUAUCUUUAACUCACGUGCAAAACUAAUCAUAUGAAGAAUGUUCAUGCUGCAGUUGGUUGAGAAGAACAAUACAGUAAAUGGCCUUCCUUCUCUACCAGUUAGUUGAGAUCUUCUGUGCCAGAGGAACUUUUGAUUAUGAUCUGGAUUCACAAUUGAUAGAGAAUAUUUGGAAUCUGAUCCAAUACCUAAGUCUAAAAGAGCUGUGGAUAAGAAGGGAAGCCUGUAUGGCUAAAAGCAAGCGAAGGAGGUCAUUAGAAGUAAAAAGACAUUGUUCAAUAAGUGAAAAUCCAAGUGAAGAACAUAGACAAAAUAAUAAAGCUUCUGGCAAGUUUAAUUUGAAGUCAUAAUAAAACUAGCCGAGAAAGAUUCUGAGGAGCAAGGGUGUAAGACAUGAUAAUAAAAACUUUUUUAAGUACAUCAGAAACAGGAAGUUUGCCAGCAAAUUGAUGGAGCCAAUAUAUUACUGGAAUGCAAAAAGACCACUUUAAAAAUAUAGGUCUUCAACAAAAAGGAUCACAACUAUCACAGGCACAGAUGUUCAUUAUGGAGAGGCUUGAGGAAGUUCCCCUGUUGGAGCCAUACUUUGUUGAGGUCUGCCAUGAGGAGCUAGAUAUUCCGUGAGGUCGCUUCCAACACAAACCUUUUUAUGAUUCUGUUCUGUUAAGUGGUUUGAUAGUAACGGAGAUGAGAAUUAAUCAAAGGGAUAUGGGCUACAGUGGAAAAGUGCAACUUGCACAAAAGCUCUAAGGAAUCUCAAAGAGUAG
ensembl:lncRNA